CGCGAAGCUUGGGGGCGUGGAAAGGUCGGCUCCAGAGGCCAGCCAUUGGGAGGAGAGAGGGGGAAAAGCUCCGAGCGGUGCAUGUGGAGAGUGCAAGCGCGUGCAAGUGGGCUGGCAUACCUAGUUGUGCUGUCAGCCAAAGCCCACCAAGUUCAUCCUGUAAAGUCACAUGCCUGAAGAAACAACCAAAAGUCCAUUACUUAAAACAUCAUAUGCAGAACAUACUGAUCUACAAAAGACCCAACGACCCAAAUUAUAUGCUGCCCAACCUAUUGGUGAACUGGAUCAGAACUGGCCAAGGAUUGGGUCUCACUCUGUCACCCAGGCUGACUUAACACCACAUAGAAGCUGCCAUGGCUUAUGGCUUGUACCCUCUGAAGCAGUGGCUGGAGCUGUACUUGGAGCCCUUUGAGCUGGUGCUAGAGGGGCCUGGAUGGGUGGUGAAGUGUCCUGAGGCUGCACAAGCCAGUGGUGCCCCAGGCCUGGCCCCCUAAACCAUUCUUUCCUCCUAGGCCUCUGGGACUGUGAUGGGAGGGGCUGUCCCAAAGACUUCUAAAAUGCCUUUGAGGCCUUUUCCCCAUUGUGUUGGAUAUUACCACUUGGCUCUCUUUUGAGUCAUGCUAAUCUCUCCAGUAAGUGGUUGCUGUGCAACCUGCUUGGAUUCUUCCCCUGAAAAUACUUUUCUUUCUCUGCCACAGGGCCAGGCUAUACAUUUUCUAAACAUUUGGACUCUGCUUUUAAAUGUGAGUCCCAACCUUAAGUAAUUCCAUUGCUCCCAUAUUGGAUCAUAGGUUGUUAGAAACAGCCACACCAUUUCUUGAAUGCUUUGCUGCUUAGAAGUUUCUUCCACUGGUACCCUAAGUCCUCACUCUUAGGUUCAACCUUCCACAGUUCCCUAGUACCAGGGCACAAUGCAGCCAAGCUCUUUGAUAAGGCAUAAUAAGGGUGACCUUUCCUCCAGUUCCAAAUAACUUCCUUAUUUCCUUCUAAGACCUCAUCAGCCUGGCUUUCACUGUCCAUGUUUCUAUCAGCAUUUUGGUUGCAA